GAGGAUGUAGUUCAAUUAGUAGAGAACUUGCCUGGCAUGCAGGAAGUCCUGGGUUCAAUCCCCACCGUUGUCU
rnacentral:tRNA from 1 species